GUCUAUGGCCAUGCCACCCUGAACAAGCCCGAUCCCGUCUACUCUUGGAAGCUAAGCAGGGUCGGGCCUGGUUAGUACUUGGGUGGGAGACCACCUAGGAAGACCAGGUACCGUAGGUG
rnacentral:rRNA from 1 species